rfam:Porphyromonas cangingivalis strain COT-109_OH1386 contig_51, whole genome shotgun sequence.
GGGGAUGACUGGAUUUGACAGCAUGUCGAAGUGGUCCGUAAGCACGUAGUGCAUUGUAGCCUGGCACUUUAAUCUCAGACUUCAGACCUUUUAAAUGGCGAAAACAAUUUUGCUCUCGCUGCGUAACCGAAGAAUAGUAAGUUGACGCUUCAUCGCUCGACACACUGAGCGACGAGACAUCACCCGGAUACUCUGUUCCCGAAGUGGUCCGAACCGGUGGUGCCGAUAUAUCGGGAAUGGCCAAGGGAGUGCCUCUAUCCUGCGGCGACAUUUCAGAGGAUAAGCGUAGGGCCGGUUGCUUUGGCCAUACCCCUAUUGCCGACAAAUGAUGCAAAGCUAAACGUGUAGAAAGCUGAUUAGUUCCGUGUUUGGACGAGGGUUCGAACCCCUCCAUCUCCACCA